CCUACGGGGGCUGCAGUGGGGAAUAUUGGACAAUGGGCGAAAGCCUGAUCCAGCCAUGCCGCGUGUGUGAAGAAGGCCUUCGGGUUGUAAAGCACUUUCAGUGGGGAAGAAAGCCUUGGGGCUAAUACCCUCGAGGAAGGACAUCACCCACAGAAGAAGCACCGGCUAACUCCGUGCCAGCAGCCGCGGUAAUACGGAGGGUGCGAGCGUUAAUCGGAAUUACUGGGCGUAAAGCGCGCGUAGGCGGUCUGAUAAGCCGGUUGUGAAAGCCCCGGGCUCAACCUGGGAACGGCAUCCGGAACUGUCAGGCUAGAGUGCAGGAGAGGAAGGUAGAAUUCCCGGUGUAGCGGUGAAAUGCGUAGAGAUCGGGAGGAAUACCAGUGGCGAAGGCGGCCUUCUGGACUGACACUGACGCUGAGGUGCGAAAGCGUGGGUAGCAAACAGGAUUAGAUACCCGGGUAGUC
rnacentral:rRNA from 1 species